UUUUUUCCACCCUUUUUAUUCACAGAAAAUACCCGUCAGAAAAAAAUGUUCUGUUGCUGUUUGCUAAAGUAUGUCGUGUUGUUUCGAGUGUUGAUUGGGAAAAUGUGGAAUAAAAUAAAAAAAUAAACAAGGAAUAGAUUUACUUAUUUAAAUUUAAUUUAAUUUAAGACUUUUGUUGUGGUGAAGCUGGUUGUAAGCAAAGAAUUUUGUUCGCACAACACGCAAGAAAGCGUUUUUCCUAUUUUCGUGAUCAGACUUCAACUUUUUCGACUUUCAGACUUCAACUUUUCCGACCUUUUACGACUUCUAGUGGGAAUUGGCAACUCACGUGUAAUCACAUAUCCAAAAAUUCGCCUACGUUUUCGGUUGGUUUAUCUUUUCGAUUUUAAUCUUAACUAAGCAGAAGGACUGAUAAAUACACUCGUUCAAUUUUUCGUUAUCAUCUGUUGUUCAGGGUUGCAUUUAUAAGAGAAAAUAGCUGUAAAUUGGAGGCAAAAUAAUUUCAAAAAAAAUUGUUUCACUUACAAACAGGAAAGCCAGAACCAAGAUUUAAAAAAAAACAACAAAGCCAAAACAAAAAAAAAUAUUGUUGACCCCAAGAGUUUGAAUAUGUGAAAGGCGAAAUUCUUCAACAUAUUGCUUUAACCCUUUUAAUGGAAGAGGAUCGCUUUACGACAUAGAAUUGUUAUGAGAUAGAGAAGUGCUCCGCGGGAUUUCUCCAUUCGCCUUACUUUAAUUGAACACGUGUACUUUUGGUUAAUAAUGACCACUCCGUAAACACAGCGCAGAGGAUACUUUCGGGAAACCGGAAAUUAUAGAAAUAAAGGAAACUAAACUUUCUCCGAAAUGAAUCCGAUAGAGCACAAAUGCCGACGCAAAAACUUGAUUUUACUAGAAAUAUGGCAUGCUAUGUCGCGGAUUGCAUCUUUUGCUCAUAUUACGUUACUUUGCAGUAGAGGGACAGAGAGAUUAAGGAAAAAGGAAUGUUGUGUUACGUAGAAUGGCUUUAUGCUUCAAAUCCUCUUACGUUAACCGAAAAUAUAUUUCUGCAAAAGUCUUCUAUGUCUGAAGAAGCUUUUGAAUGCGGUUUACGAAAAAUUGGUUCGAGUGAUGGCACAUAUAAGUUUCCGGUGAUCCAUUUACCUGUUGCUUUGGAAUUGUGGGGUUUACUUAAGCAGUGCACAGGGCACUAUUUCUAACAUUUCAAUUACAGUUGAUUGUACAUGUCCCAAGAACAAGGAAAGCACAAGAAAUACUACUUACCA